rnacentral:rRNA from 1 species
GAUUCCCCCAGUAGCGGCGAGCGAACGGGGAGGAGCCCAGAGCCUGAAUCAGUGUGUGUGUUAGUGGAAGCGUCUGGAAAGGCGCGCGAUACAGGGUGACAGCCCCGUACACAAAAAUGCACAUGCUGUGAGCUCGAUGAGUAGGGCGGGACACGUGGUAUCCUGUCUGAAUAUGGGGGGACCAUCCUCCAAGGCUAAAUACUCUUGACUGACCGAUAGUGAACCAGUACCGUGAGGGAAAGGCGAAAAGAACCCCGGCGAGGGGAGUGAAAAAGAACCUGAAACCGUGUACGUACAAGCAGUGGGAGCACGCUUAGGCGUGUGACUGCGUACCUUUUGUAUAAUGGGUCAGCGACUUAUAUUCUGUAGCAAGGUUAACCGAAUAGGGGAGCCGAAGGGAAACCGAGUCUUAACUGGGCGUUAAGUUGCAGGGUAUAGANCCGAAACCCGGUGAUCUAGCCAUGGGCAGGUUGAAGGUUGGGUAACACUAACUGGAGGACCGAACCGACUAAUGUUGAAAAUUAGCGGAUGACUUGUGGCUGGGGUGAAAGGCCAAUCAAACCGGGAGAUAGCUGGUUCUCC